rnacentral:rRNA from 1 species
GAUGAACGCUGGCGGCGUGCCUAAUACAUGCAAGUCGAGCGAACAGACGAGGAGCUUGCUCCUCUGACGUUAGCGGCGGACGGGUGAGUAACACGUGGAUAACCUACCUAUAAGACUGGGAUAACUUCGGGAAACCGGAGCUAAUACCGGAUAAUAUAUUGAACCGCAUGGUUCAAUAGUGAAAGACGGUUUUGCUGUCACUUAUAGAUGGAUCCGCGCCGCAUUAGCUAGUUGGUAAGGUAACGGCUUACCAAGGCAACGAUGCGUAGCCGACCUGAGAGGGUGAUCGGCCACACUGGAACUGAGACACGGUCCAGACUCCUACGGGAGGCAGCAGUAGGGAAUCUUCCGCAAAGGGCGAAAGCCUGACGGAGCAACGCCGCGUGAGUGAUGAAGGUCUUCGGAUCGUAAAACUCUGUUAUUAGGGAAGAACAAAUGUGUAAGUAACUAUGCACGUCUUGACGGUACCUAGUCAGAAAGCCACGGCUAACUACGUG